GUUCAAGUAGCUUAAGCUUUUAAAAGUAUGACAUUGAAGCUGUUAUGAUGAGAAUGUUCUCCUUGAACA
rnacentral:tRNA from 1 species